rnacentral:rRNA from 1 species
CCCCUCCUACGGGAGGCAGCAGUAGGGAAUCUUCCACAAUGGACGAAAGUCUGAUGGAGCAACGCCGCGUGAGUGAAGAAGGGUUUCGGCUCGUAAAGCUCUGUUGGUAGUGAAGAAAGAUAGAGGUAGUAACUGGCCUUUAUUUGACGGUAAUUACUUAGAAAGUCAGGGCUAACUACGUGCCAGCAGCCGCGGUGAUACGUAGGUGGCAAGCGGUGUCCGGGUUUAUUGGGCGUAAAGCGAGUGCAGGCGGAUCAAUAA